AUGAGAGUUCCAUUCUUGAUCCUCACCAUCCUCGUUCUCUUUCUCCAGUGCAAUGCUUCCCCGUUUGUAAGAGAUAAGGAGACCAACAUCCUCUUCUACCUCCACAACAUCCAUGCCGACAAGGAUUCAUUAUCGGUCCUCGUCGCACAAAACACCAAUGCCAUCGCCCAUGCCCGUGGUAUCGUGGCCUUUAGCUCUGUCUACGUGUUUGACGACGUGAUCACCGAGGGGCCCUCGAUCACGUCUAAGGUGCUUGGGAAUGCACAGGGCAUGUACGUCGGAACAGCGAAAGACGGGUACACGAUUUUGAUGGCCAUCGACGUCGAGAUCACAACUGGGCCAUUCAACGGUAGCUCGUUCAUACUGUUCUCGAGGAACCCGCUGAGAUCAACCAGGGAGCUCCCCGUUAUUGGAGGCCGGGGUGCGUUCCGAAUGGCCCAAGGGUACGGCAUGCUCCGCACGGUGUGUGUUCACUGUCUCGCCUCUACGAACCCUCCCAGUGGAGAUGUGAUAGUACAAUGUGACCCUCUGGCACCAUUAAUUGAGUUUAUGUAUGUAUUUUGGGUCGUUUGUAGCAGCGCGAUGAUGAUAAUAUAG
rnacentral:rRNA from 1 species